UAUUUCCCCCAAUAUGAGGAAAAGGAACCAACAGGGAUUGCCUCAGUAACGGCGAGUGAAGCGGCAAAAGCUCAAAUUUGAAAUCCCCCCGGGGAGUUGUAAUUUGAAGAUUGCGUCUUGGAGGCGACCGUGUCUAUGUUCCUUGGAACAGGACGUCACAGAGGGUGAGAAUCCCGUGCGGCACGGCCCCCGGCUCCUUAUAAGGCGCUCUCGACGAGUCGAGUUGUUUGGGAAUGCAGCUCAAAGUGGGUGGUAAAUUCCAUCUAAAGCUAAAUACAGGCGAGAGACCGAUAGCGAACAAGUACAGUGAUGGAAAGAUGAAAAGCACUUUGAAAAGAGAGUGAAACAGCACGUGAAAUUGUUGAAAGGGAAGGGCAUGCCGUCAGAUUGUCAGUGUGGGUAAGAAGCGGGGUACAAAGACUGUGGAACGUGGCCCUCGGGUGUUAUAGCCGCAGUUCAUGCCCCGUCUCUUUCCGAGGCCUGCUUUGAGGACACCGACGUAAUGACGGUACGCCGCCCGUCUUGAACCCCCGGACCAAAAGG
rnacentral:rRNA from 1 species